GGGGAAGUUGCCCAAGACAGCCCAACUGUUUGGUAAUGAGUGGAGUGUCUGUGGCAGAGUCUUAAUUGAAGAACUAGCUAUUAAGUAAGAGGCUCUUGUUAUGUUCCAGUGACCAUGUAAGUGAAGAAAUCAGAAAGCAGGGUAGAGAUGAAAACCUGGGAAGAAGACAUCCUGGAACUCAAGACCACAGAGAAAGUUUGCAAAAUCUGGAAUCUCUUAGGCUCUUUGGUAUCGGAAAUGUUUAACAUGAAGAGAUGUUCUACACAUCAGAUAUCCACACAUUUCUGAUAAAAUCUUAGGAAAAUAAAAGGAGAAUAUAGAACCAAUUGUUCAGGGUGGUUGUGCUGUGGAGGAUUGAAAAAAUGAUGAGAAAUAGAAGGG
rnacentral:lncRNA from 1 species